CCCCCGGCGAGGACUCGAUCCCACUCCUGAAGCGGGUGUCGCAGGUUCGAAUCCUGCCUGGGGC
rnacentral:tRNA from 1 species